CUGGAGGUAUCAGAAGUGCGAAUGCUGACAUAAGUAACGAUAAAGCGGGUGAAAAGCCCGCUCGCCGGAAGACCAAGGGUUCCUGUCCAACGUUAAUCGGGGCAGGGUGAGUCGACCCCUAAGGCGAGGCCGAAAGGCGUAGUCGAUGGGAAACGGGUUAAUAUUCCCGUACUUGGUGUUACUGCGAAGGGGGGACGGAGAAGGCUAUGUUGGCCGGGCGACGGUUGUCCCGGUUUAAGCGUGUAGGUGUGUGUUCCAGGUAAAUCCGGUUCACUUUAACACUGAGGCGUGAUGACGAGGCACUACGGUGCUGAAGCAACAAAUGCCCUGCUUCCAGGAAAAGCCUCUAAGCAUCAGGUAACAUCAAAUCGUACCCCAAACCGACACAGGUGGUCAGGUAGAGAAUACCAAGGCGCUUGAGAGAACUCGGGUGAAGGAACUAGGCAAAAUGGUGCCGUAACUUCGGGAGAAGGCACGCUGACACGUAGGUGAAGUGAUUUACUCAUGGAGCUGAAGUCAGUCGAAGAUACCAGCUGGCUGCAACUGUUUAUUAAAAACACAGCACUGUGCAAACACGAAAGUGGACGUAUACGGUGUGACGCCUGCCCGGUGCCGGAAGGUUAAUUGAUGGGGUCAGCGCAAGCGAAGCUCCUGAUCGAAGCCCCGGUAAACGGCGGCCGUAACUAUAACGGUCCUAAGGUAGCGAAAUUCCUUGUCGGGUAAGUUCCGACCUGCACGAAUGGCGUAAUGAUGGCCAGGCUGUCUCCACCCGAGACUCAGUGAAAUUGAACUCGCUGUGAAGAUGCAGUGUACCCGCGGCAAGACGGAAAGACCCCGUGAACCUUUACUAUAGCUUGACACUGAACAUUGAGCCUUGAUGUGUAGGAUAGGUGGGAGGCUUUGAAGUGUGGACGCCAGUCUGCAUGGAGCCGGCCUUGAAAUACCACCCUUUAAUGUUUGAUGUUCUAACGUGGACCCGUGAUCCGGGUUGCGGACAGUGUCUGGUGGGUAGUUUGACUGGGGCGGUCUCCUCCUAAAGAGUAACGGAGGAGCACGAAGGUUGGCUAAUCCUGGUCGGACAUCAGGAGGUUAGUGCAAUGGCAUAAGCCAGCUUGACUGCGAGCGUGACGGCGCGAGCAGGUGCGAAAGCAGGUCAUAGUGAUCCGGUGGUUCUGAAUGGAAGGGCCAUCGCUCAACGGAUAAAAGGUACUCCGGGGAUAACAGGCUGAUACCGCCCAAGAGUUCAUAUCGACGGCGGUGUUUGGCACCUCGAUGUCGGCUCAUCACAUCCUGGGGCUGAAGUAGGUCCCAAGGGUAUGGCUGUUCGCCAUUUAAAGUGGUACGCGAGCUGGGUUUAGAACGUCGUGAGACAGUUCGGUCCCUAUCUGCCGUGGGCGCUGGAGAACUGAGGGGGGCUGCUCCUAGUACGAGAGGACCGGAGUGGACGCAUCACUGGUGUUCGGGUUGUCAUGCCAAUGGCACUGCCCGGUAGCUAAAUGCGGAAGAGAUAAGUGCUGAAAGCAUCUAAGCACGAAACUUGCCCCGAGAUGAGUUCUCCCUGAGACUUUAAGUCUCCUGAAGGAACGUUGAAGACGACGACGUUGAUAGGCCGGGUGUGUAAGCGCAGCGAUGCGUUGAGCUAACCGGUACUAAUGAACCGUGAGGCUUAACCUUACAACGCCGAAG
rnacentral:rRNA from 1 species